CUCAGUUUGAUCCCGGCUCAGGACGACCGCGGCGGCGUGCCUUAACACAUGCAAGUCGAGCCAAGCCCUUGAACUUCUUCGAACCAAGAGGGUGACUGAGCGGCGGACGGGUGAGUAACGCGUGGGUAAACCGCUCAUACAGGGGGAUAACAGUUAGAAAUGGCUGUAAUACCGCAUAAGCGCACAGCAUCGCAUGAUGCCGUGUGAAAAAAUUCCGGUGGUAUGAGAUGGACCCGCGUCUGAUUAGGUAGUUGGCGGGGUAACGGCCCACCAAGCCGACGAUCAGUAGCCGACCUGAGAGGGUGACCGGCCACAUUGGGACUGAGACACGGCCCAAACUCCUACGGGAGGCAGCAGUGGGGAAUAUUGCACAAUGGGCGAAAGCCUGAUGCAGCGACGCCGCGUGAGCGAAGAAGUAUCUCGGUAUGUAAAGCUCUAUCAGCAGGGAAGAAAAUGACGGUACCUGACUAAGAAGCCCCGGCUAACUACGUGCCAGCAGCCGCGGUAAUACGUAGGGGGCAAGCGUUAUCCGGAUUUACUGGGUGUAAAGGGAGCGUAGACGGAGAGGCAAGUCUGAUGUGAAAACCCGGGGCUCAACCCCGGGAGUGCAUUGGAAACUGUUUAUCUGGAGUGCCGGAGGGGUAAGUGGAAUUCCUAGUGUAGCGGUGAAAUGCGUAGAUAUUAGGAGGAACACCAGUGGCGAAGGCGGCUUACUGGACGGUAACUGACGUUGAGGCUCGAAAGCGUGGGGAGCAAACAGGAUUA
rnacentral:rRNA from 1 species